AAUAGAUACCCAGGUAGUCCACGCCGUAAACGGUGGGCACUAGAUGUGGGGCUCUUUCCAUGAGUUCCGCGUCGCAGCUAACGCAUUAAGUGCCCCGCCUGGGGAGUACGGCCGCAAGGCUAAAACUCAAAGGAAUUGACGGGGGCCCGCACAAGCGGCGGAGCAUGCGGAUUAAUUCGAUGCAACGCGAAGAACCUUACCAAGGCUUGACAUAUACGGUCUAUCCCUAGAGAUAGGGAGUGCUUCGGCGCCGUAUACAGGUGGUGCAUGGUUGUCGUCAGCUCGUGUCGUGAGAUGUUGGGUUAAGUCCCGCAACGAGCGCAACCCUUGUCGCUAGUUAAAUUCUCUAGCGAGACUGCCCCUAAAAGGGAGGAAGGAGGGGAUGAUGUCAAAUCAUCAUGGCUCUUACGUCCUGGGCUACACACACGCUACAAUGGCCAGUACAGACGGUUGCUAAAUCGCGAGAUGGAGCCAAUCCGACAAAGCUGGUCUCAGUUGGGAUUGCAGGCUGAAACCCG
rnacentral:rRNA from 1 species